AACAUUCUAGAGUGGAAGAGUGGAAUCUUGUCCUUUGUUACAGUAUCAUGUAAGCAGCCUUGUCCGGUGAUACAAUGACACAUUUAUGCGUUGAUACAAUGUAAAAGCGCUGACUUUUGACAAAAGAUCAAUGAGAAAAAUCAGAGAAUCCGGUCCAGACAAGGGGAAAACUGGGGUAAGCUAAGUUUGUAGGCUGUAUCGCAUCGUGUAUCAACCCGGUAAGAUGAGGUGCCGUUCCAUAACUUUGAUACGCCAGUAGAUCUCUGUAAGAUGUUUUAGAAGAGUAAACUGAGGCACACUGUCCACAUAAGAGGAUACACGAGCCACGGGGCGGUGCUUUACCCUGCAACAAGACAACAACCCAGAAUGCAGUACACACAAACAAAAGACUUGAGAAGGGGUAAAAGACAGCAUGGACACCCAAGUCAUGUCCAACACAAUCCCGUCUGUAAUAAUAAUAAUGAAAUGAUGAUAAUAAUAAUAUUCAUAAAUAUAAAUAUAGCAAUGUGCUGCAGCUGGAAAGUUUGUCUUAUGAAUUUACAAACAUAGGAUUUGAGGUCACGGACCGUCCUAUAUUCAGAUAUAAC